UUUAUUCUUUUUUUAAUUUAAAUUUAAUUUAAUUUAAUUUUUAUUUAAAUUUAAUUUUUUUAAUUUAAUUUUAAAAUUUAUAAAUUUUGGUACAUUGGUGCAAAAUGAGGAAAAUUUUACAUUUUCUCAAACAGGGUAAGGAACUUGGUUCCUCGAAUAACUUCUGACACAGACAUCUGAGGGCUUGGCCGUCCAAGAAGAAAAUGUAGCCAUUGGUGCCAUCUAUCGACCACAAGUUAAAGAUUGGCGAUCCGUUGGAUACCGACCGACUUAUAGGCAAAACUUGGUGCAAAAAUGAGGAAAAUUUUACAUUUUCUCAAACAGGGUAAGGAACUUGGUUCCUCGAAUAACUUCUGACACAGACAUCUGAGGGCUUGGCCGUCCAAGAAGAAAAUGUAGCCAUUGGUGCCAUCUAUCGACCACAAGUUAAAGAUUGGCGAUCCGUUGGAUACCGUCCGACUUAUAGGCAAAACUUGGUGCAAAAAUGAGGAAAAUUUUACAUUUUCUCAAACAGGGUAAGGAACUUGGUUCCUCGAAUAACUUCUGACACAGACAUCUGAGGGCUUGGCCGUCCAUGAAGAAAAUGUAGCCAUUGAUGCCAUCUACCGACCACAGAUUAAAGAUUGGCGAUCCGUUGGAUACAAACCGAGUUAUAAGCAGAACUUGGUGUAAAAAUGAGCCUUAUGAAAUUUGCAAUUUUAUAGAUUUUUCACAUUUUUAUAUUUUUUUUUUACUCUUUUUUUUGGUUGAAGCAUUAUUUGAGUGAAAAGAAACUCAUUGCAACCAAUUGGCAUUAAAAUAAAUCAAUUUAAAUUUUUUUGAAAAAUUUCUCAAAAAAAUGGCAAGGGGUACCCCUUAUGAAAUUUUCGAGUUGAAAAUUUUUUGAAAUUUUUUUUCUCAUUUUUUAUUCUUUUUUUAAUUUAAAGCACUAUUUAAGUGAAAAGAAAAUAAUUGUAACAAAUUCCCAUCAAAAUAUAUCACAUUUAUAAAUUUUGCUACAUUGGUGAAAAAUGAGGAAAAUUUUACAUUUUCUCAUACAGGGUAAGGAACUUGGUUCCUCGAAUAACUUCUGACACAGACAUCUGAGGGCUUGGCCGUCCAAGAAGAAAAUGUAGCCAUUGGUGCCAUCUAUCGACCACAAGUUAAAGAUUGACGAUUCGUUAGAUACCGACCAAGCUACAGGCAAAACAUGGUGCAAAAAUGAGCCUUAUGAAAUUUUCAAUUUUAUAGAUUUUUCACAUAUUUUUAUUAUGUUUUACUCUUUUUUUUGUUUGAAGCAUUAUUUGAGUGAAAAGAAACUCAUUGCAACCAAUUGGCAAUAAAAUAAAUCAAUUUAAAUUUUUUUGAAAAAUUUCUCAAAAAAAUGGCAAGGGGUACCCCUUAUGAAAUUUUCGAGUUGAAAAUUGUUUGAAAUUUUUUUUCUCAUUUUUUAUUCCUUUUUUAAUUUAAAUUUAAUUUAAUUUAAUUUUUAUUUAAAUUUAAUUUUUUUAAUUUAAUUUUAAAAUUUAUAAAUUUUGGUACAUUGGUGAAAAAUGAGGAAAAUUUUACAUUUUCUCAAACAGGGUAAGGAACUUGGUUCCUCGAAUAACUUCUGACACAGACAUCUGAGGGCUUGGCCGUCCAAGAAGAAAAUGUAGCCAUUGGUGCCAUCUAUCGACCACAAGUUAAAGAUUGACGAUUCGUUAGAUACCGACCAAGCUACAGGCAAAAGUUGGUGCAAAAAUGAGCCUUAUGAAAUUUUCAAUUUUAUAUAUUUUUCACAUAUUUUUAUUAUUUUUUACUCUUUUUUUUGUUUGAAGCAUUAUUUGAGUGAAAAGAAACUCAUUGCAACCAAUUGGCAUUAAAAUAAAUCAAUUUAAAUUUUUUUGAAAAAUUGCUCAAAAAAAUGGGUACCCCUUAUGAAAUUUUCGAGUUGAAAAUUGUUUGAAAUUUUUUUUCUCAUUUUUUAUUCUUUUUUUAAUUUAAAGCACUAUUUAAGUGAAAAGAAAAUAAUUGCAACAAAUUCCCAUCAAAAUAUAUCACAUUUAUAAAUUUUGCUACAUUGGUGAAAAAUGAGGAAAAUUUUACAUUUUCUCAAACAAGGUAAGGAACUUGGUUCCUAGAAUAACUUCUGACACAGACAUCUGAGGGCUUGGCCGUCCAAGAAGAAAAUGUAGCCAUUGGUGCCAUCUAUCGACCACAAGUUAAAGAUUGGCGAUCCGUUGGAUACCGUCCGACUUAUAGGCAAAACUUGGUGCAAAAAUGAGGAAAAUUUUACAUUUUCUCAAACAGGGUAAGGAACUUGGUUCCUCGAAUAACUUCUGACACAGACAUCUGAGGGCUUGGCCGUCCAUGAAGAAAAUGUAGCCAUUGAUGCCAUCUACCGACCACAGAUUAAAGAUUGGCGAUCCGUUGGAUACAAACCGAGUUAUAAGCAGAACUUGGUGUAAAAAUGAGCCUUAUGAAAUUUGCAAUUUUAUAGAUUUUUCACAUUUUUAUAUUUUUUUUUACUCUUUUUUUUGGUUGAAGCAUUAUUUGAGUGAAAAGAAACUCAUUGCAACCAAUUGGCAUUAAAAUAAAUCAAUUUAAAUUUUUUUGAAAAAUUUCUCAAAAAAAUGGCAAGGGGUACCCCUUAUGAAAUUUUCGAGUUGAAAAUUUUUUGAAAUUUUUUUUUUCUCAUUUUUU